rnacentral:rRNA from 1 species
UACAGAGGUCUCAAGCGUUGUUUCGGAUUCAUUGGGCGUAAAGGGCGCGUAGGCGGCGGGGUAAGUCGGGUGUGAAAUCUCAGAGCUCAACUCUGAAACUGCACUCGAUACUGCUCUGCUUGAGGACUGGAGAGGAGACUGGAAUUCACGGUGUAGCGGUGAAAUGCGUAGAUAUCUGGAGGAACACCGGUGGCGAAGGCGGCAUCCUGGACCGGCAUUGACGCUGACGGCGGCGAAAAGCCCAGGGGAGCCAAAG